CUACAGUAAUCAUUAUCAAUCUCCGGAUCUGGAAUCUGUAACAUAUCCUGAUUUUGGGCUCUGUAUCUGCCCCAUCAGCACGAAAGAGAGUAUACCACCUGGAUGAAUGACAGUCCAGGAAAGCUGCACUCUCUUGGUACUAAAUGUCCUUUGUAUACACCUCAAAAUGGGCUAAGCUGAAAGCUAAACCAGGGGCCUACCACACACUGGCGUUUCCCUGCGUCCCAUAUCGAGUGGGUGAUUUGUGCAAAUGUGUCCGGGGUCAAAUGUGUAAGACCUAAAACCUUACACAAGUGCGGGCGCUUCAGCCCCUGAAGUGAGUUUAUGUACAGUUCCAUUGUGCGUGAUAAUUAAGAAUCUUGGCUUCCUCUAUCUGUAGGCCACCCCUGUGGAGCGUAGGCAAAUUGUAAGUGUAUUUACUGAUUUGCACCACUGGAAAGUGGCUCUAUCCUGCCUACUUCUGCCAGUGUGUAAGACACCUACCAUUAGUGCGCUAUCACCUUAUUUUUCAUCAAGAUUCUAUGUAUGUAUAAGUGUUUUUUUUUUGACAUAACACUUCGGUGAAUUUGUGCUGCACUGGUUAUUGAGUAUUAUUGUGGCGCCAUUUAUC